AUGUCAUUCUUGAAGGCGUGGGAGGUGGUCCGCACCUGCGUGCUCGCGCGGCGGUGGCGCCAUCUCUGGGCGUCCGUGCCCUGCGUCGAUCUCCGCGUGCGCCCCUCCACUAGCCGCUACAGCGACCCGCCUGAGAAGUUCCGCGACUUCGUGCACCGGCUCUUCCUCCUCCGGGACGAAUCGGCGCCCGUGGUCAUGCUCCGCCUGCGGCCGAGCGACGAAGAAGCGGGCUUCACCGAUGACGACGCCAGCGCGUGGAUGAUGGCCGCCAUCAAGCGCAACGCGCGGGUUAUCCAUCUCACCGGGCAUUGCUCAGAGAUCGUGUCAUUGGACCGCGUGUCGUUCAUCUCUUGCCACCUCAAGGUCUUGAAGCUGUCGGAUGCCAUGCUCGACUACAGGAUCCUCGGGCAGCUUUCUUCUAGUUGCACGGCUUUGGAAGUACUACGUCUGAAGGAUUGCUUGGUGUUGGUGGCGGGCCCUUGGUGUUUGAAGACAUUAAUCAUGCUCGAAUGCGAGAUCAGUUGCGCCUUCUCCAUUGCUGCUCCGAACCUCCUACUUCUGCACCUCAUCACACCUUAUGUCCGAGUCCCAUCAUUCAAGAAUUUGGGGUCACUUGUCACAGCUACUAUCAUACUUGAUGACUCUUUCUUGGGUGAUGACAAUGAAUGCAUCGGUGAUGAAGAUUAUUGUGAUGGAACUAUUGAUGACGACGGGGAUGAUAGCGACGAUAAUGAUUGGACAGAGAGCUCGAAGAUUCAUGAUGAGUCUUCCUUGAGUGAUAAUAUUGGAUAUGAUGAUUUUAUAAGGUUUGGAUACGGAUAUGGUUUUGCUGAAGGAAUUUACAGGCAUGAUCGUUACAAGGAUAAUUAUGAUUGUGGUGGUGAUAUCGACAGCGAUGAAAAUACCUAUGCAUACAGUGAGAUUGCAAAUGAUGCAAAGUAUGGCUACAAAGGCAAAGGCCUGAUUUCCAGUAAAGACAGUAUCUAUGGUGGAUAUAGAGAAUGCAAUGAUGCGAAGAUUUUAGGUGGCCGUCAUAUUCUUCAGAGUCUUUCAAGUGCUAGAACUUUGGAGUUGUUGACUGAUGCUAGAGAGGUUGUUCUGAGCAGGGAACUGAAUACAUGUCCAAUUUUUGGCAACCUGAAGACCCUGUCUCUUGGCGAAUGGUGUAUGACUGCAGACUUUGAUGCAUCAAUUUUCUUGCUGCAGCACUCACCUAAUAUACAGAAGCUCUUUCUCCAACUUAAAAUUAACUUCAAUGCCAGAGAGGCAUCAGAAACAGGUAUCAAACUAUAG
rnacentral:rRNA from 1 species